rnacentral:rRNA from 1 species
UACGAAGGGGGCUAGCGUUGCUCGGAAUGACUGGGCGUAAAGGGCGCGUAGGCGGUUUGGACAGUUGGGCGUGAAAUUCCUGGGCUCAACCUGGGGGCUGCGCUUAAUACAUCCAGACUGGAGUGUGAAAGAGGGUCGUGGAAUUCCCAGUGUAGAGGUGAAAUUCGUAGAUAUCUGGAGGAACACCGGUGGCGAAGGCGGCAUCCUGGACCAACACUGACGCUGAGUGAGCGAAAGCCAGGGGAGCAAACGGG